AAUUCACGCGGCCAAUAAAACAAGUGGCGGAGAUGGACAGUGUUACUUAAAUAAACAAGGGUCUCUUUAAAAUUCUCAUCCACUUCAGAUGUCUAAAGUAAGAUUGUGAUGAUUUUGUCACGGUUUGGUAAAUUUACCCCUUUAAGAGGCUUUCAUAAAUCCCAGAACACACCUUCAGCCAGAUUUGAAUAUAGAUUUAGGUUUUAAAACCCAGAAGCUGGGAACACCGCUUUAUCAAAGAGAAUUUCCCUUUAGCUUAGCAAUGUGUCGGAAUGGCUCUUGCAAAGAUUGGAUCUGAGAGGGGGAAAAAGGGGGAACCUUCUUUCCUGGAGCAAUCCUGCACACACUUUGCAGCUGCCUCUGCCUUCAGCCUUCUGCAGCUCGGGGAAAAGUCGCCAAAAAAAAAAAUUAAUAAGAAUUGUUGCAGCUGUAGGAACUUGGGGUUUUUUUUAUUAUUCUUUUAAUUUUUUUUUUAACUUUCCAAUCUCUUCUGGUCCACUUGGAAAGCGUUUCAGAGCAGGUACAGUCCCAGAGAGCCAGACUAGCUGGGGCUAACGGGGAGUGAGUGGAGAUGUGUGAUUUUCUGCCCUCUAAGAACUUUGUGCUCAGAGAAACAAAAUCUGCUUCUGGGAUGAAAAGAAACUGUAACUUCUGCUUCUCAGGGCUGUGGGAGUCUUGUCCCUCCUUGAAUAUCUCGACUGCACAGAUGCAUUCCCUGGAAAGAGAAGCCCACAUGGAGAACAAUGGGCAAAGCUGGAGGUGGGAUUCAAAUCUUCUUUACUCCAUACGUGCUGGUCCAGCAUCGAAGGGAUGUCAUGGCGGCAGCUCAUCCCAAGUCUGCUCACUUUGGAAAGGAGUUUGGGGCUCUCCUAGCAACUCCUUGUUAAUUUUGUGGAUCCAAAUCAUCACUUACACAGAAGUCAGCUUGCAGGCAGCCACCCUGAGAGCUUAUGAGAAUAUUUAACCUCUGGAUGUGAGCAUCUGAUUGAAGUGAUCACAUUACCAGAACUUCCUGAGUUACUGUUCAUCAGCUGAGUCCCAGAAACUCACUGCUAUCUCACAACCCAAAGUAGGUGUCUGCUUCAGUCCUCAGAGCUACAACUACCUCAAAUAACAAAUAACCUUUAUCUGUCAAAAAACUCCCUCCUCUUGAUAAUCUACUCUAAAAUUUGAUUGGGAUAUGCAUGUACGUGGUGCAAGUUGCCUACGAGCAGCUACAACCUCAUGGCUUCCACUCGUAUGCCCAUGUAGUCAAGUUGGCUAUUUCAGUCUUUUUUUGGGGGGGGGAUAAACUCACUGUGGGCUGCCCAUGGGUGUUAAGUUAGCAAUAACUAUGAUGCUGGUCUGGCCUCUUACACACUCAUGCAAUUUGACUUUGAAAUUCCUUCCUCAAAGCCAGUAAUGUUGGUAACAAAUGUUUUUUGGGAAAAAACUCCAGCUACUCAACAUAAAGGAUCUAAUCCGUGGAGAAGUUGCUACAUCCCUUGGCCCCAGAGAUAACACAAUCUAUUCUGGAGAGCAUUAGCCUGGAAUUCAUAAUGCAAAGCAUCUAGAUUUCAGAGGCGAGCUAGAAAAUUACAUUUUCAUUAAUGUUUUGACUAAUUAUUCUCCUACAGCCAUGUAGAAAGGUUACCUGGUCUCUUAAAUCUGGUAUGUAUCUAGUAUGCUAGCAAUUUUCCUUCCUUUUCAUUCCUCACAGGACAGAAAUUAGACAUUGUCAUUCCAUAUUAUUUGCGACAUGUUGACAUUAUAAUUUAAAAGGAUGCAGCAGUUCUGAACAGCUGGAGAGUAAUCCUGAACAAUCCUUGACAGUUUUCUUUGGAGGAUGAAUGCCCCUCCCUGGAGAACUGCACAGUCUCUUAUUUUAAACUAACAGCUAAUUUUAGACAGUUUGCCCUCUUAGAAAUGCAUGCCACAGAGACUUCUCUACAUGGUGAACAGCAGUGACCAGAGAUAAGCACCCACACAGAAAAAGAGAGCGCUCUAAAAUAGAUUUUUCCUCUUCUAAGAGACAUGACUUGUUUGCCGUAUUGCCUGAUGGAGCCAAAGAGAGACUCUCAUUGCUGGCUCUCGCUGAGACAGCCCUCCCUUGUGCUAUGCAGAGCUGAAAGCUUCUUGAAUGCUGCACACGCUUUGAGACUGCUGUGGUUUACUUCUCAGAGGCUUGGGGGGAAUUGGUUUAAGCAGAGGGGAUUUCCCCCCACCCCACCCAACAGGUUCAGUGUGCUGUGCUUGGAACCUCUUGCCCCUGGAAGGGAGCAGGAAGCAAUCUGCAGCAGGGUCAUGCAUCACCUCCGUCUCCCAAAGGUCUUGGGUGCGAUGACAUCGAGCAACGGGGACACGAGUCAGAAAACACCUUGUGGAAGAUGGAAACCAGUUUCAUAUGGCUUUGCCUUGUGGGUUUUUGAGGGAAGGGAGAAGGGCGGCCUGGGGGGCAUCUCCUCCAGCUGUCUUGCCGGGAGCAGGGGAAGCUGCUGUGCCUGUCGCACAGAGCCCCACCUCUCCUGCCAUUCUGCAGCUAUGGUCUAGCCUUCAGUACAGGUUCAAACACUCCCUACCAAUGAGAAAAAGUCCUGACUUCACAUCAUCACGCUCCUGGGACAUCCCAGGCAAAAGUGCAUAUGCUGCUUGUAGAUGAGACAUCAGGCAGGUCUGUGGGGUGAUUUGGGUUCAGGUUAAGCAUAAACAAAAGCUGCUGAAAUGACUAUUGCUUUGUCAUGUGUCAUGCGGUCUGAACAGAAGCUAAUCUGGUUUGCAGGAGUCAUUGAAAGGACAAGAGAAGUGGUUCUGUGUUGUUACAGGAGCUGGAGACACUGCCAACACAGAAGGGGUGCUCUCCUGAAAAGCUGGCUGUGCUCUGCAGCUCCUCUCUCUGCUGGGUACAGGAGCAAGAGCAAAGAAGGGCUGAAGGGACAAACCUUUUUGUGCCAUAGAUCGAUCAAAAGCCCGCUGUGUUCAAAUAGGUGCAAGGCUAGGUCAGACCUGAAUUGUGCUCAACCACAUUUUUCCUAGAUUUGCAGCAGACACUAGUGUGGUCCGUCUGGCCACUGAUGGUUGACUCCCAUUUCACUGGGACCCCUGAGAGGCUUCAGACUGGCUCUGAUGGGGCUUUGGUCUAGCCUUUACUCUGUAUAAGUUUUUUUAUAUGCUGCACAUCUCCUCCAGGGAAUGAUCUGCCUUUUCUGAACAGGAACCACAGCUGGCUGCAGAAUAAAAAUGUCUGGAGUUGUGCUAUGCUGGAUGCUGUGCCCUGUGUUUUCCCUGUGAGGGCAAAGUCAUCACUGGUUUCAAGGACAACAGCUUGAGGUCCCUUCUUCAGCUGUCAUUCAGGAGUUUGCCUCACGGUUCCUACCAGUGAAAUAUUUCUACCAAACGAGGAUAGUGCUCCAAAGAGGAAAGUCUGACAGAAAAAAAACACAGAGUUCCUGGUUCUUAUUUCUCUAAUUAAAAAUUACUCCCUUCAGCACUCAAAGCUCUAAUCUGGGUGUAAUACCUUUCAAGAAGAGAAUGCUUCCCUUGCAGAGUUUAGAGCAGCAAGCUUCAAAAUCCAGGUUUUGGAUAGAGGUGUUUGAAAACAGUUCCACUGUAUCUCUUUUGUAGUUGGAGGAGCCGAUAAGACAUGCAAAAGAAAACCCUGUGAAUGUAAAGAGACUGAGUGGACUGAUAUAAAUCCAAUUCUGCAAGAUCUGUGCUGAGAGGACUUGGUCACAGGAGUAGUGCUGUUCCUGCGAAGAAGCAUUUUCAGGCACCAGUUCCCAGUAUAGCACAUGGAGGAGCAGAACAGUAUUACCCUGUGUUGUGCCUUGGGGCCCACUGGGAUGGGAGAUGGAGCUGUUCGAACACUUGUCUGUGUGCAGGCACUCGAGUGAACAUAUAAAGCGUGUGUGCCAAUGCUGAAGGGCUUACAGGACUCAGGUGUUUGCACCUGAUAAAAAGCCAGGACAAGUGUUGUGGGAGUGAGGGAGUCUGAAGAGGACAAGUCAAGACUCAGUCUCUUUCCCUGAAUGAUUCAUUGCCCUAAAAAACAGAAUGUGAACUGUAUUUUUCAUUAAGGACCAGGUUCCCCCAGCUAAGAGAGAGCCCCAAGAGCAUUUCCCCUGUACACGGGAACGAAGGGGACUGAAGCAAAGUAAUUUUCUGAGGUCCUUCUGAACUUGUUCUCAAGCAAUUGCUAGACAUGUGAGCUCAGCCAGUUACCUAUGCCUCCAUAAAGAAGAAGGUAAAAUACAAUAAAAUGGCUUAGCAGAGUUUUUAAACCCUGAUAUCGCUAUCGAUAUGCCAUGGAAAGUGGACAGUGGUGGAUAGUAACAGUGCAGUGCCCUCAGGUCGGUCUUCUUGUGCUGAGAUAUAGGAAGUGUCUGAACAAGUCCAGUCUUACUAGAAACUGUCCUCUGGAGCACAUCAACCCUGUUCAUCAUGGUCCUUCAGAUUAGCUCACUGCCUCAUUACCCUCUCCAUCACAGCUCUAAGUAUGGAGUUGAUGCAAGUCUAAUUAACAACCUGUGAUGUGAUCCAGGACACAUGGUGGAAAACCAUGUCCAGGCCAAAGGUUCAGUGAGUCUUGACAACUCUGCUCUUUGAAUGAGGUUGAGAUCCUCUCCUAAUGUCACACAAGUCUUUGCAAAACAUUCCUGGGACAGCCUGAUGGGGAGACAUCAAGGGCAUUGGGUGGAAGAAGGACUGGUGGGAAAUACAAGAAUACUCCUGCCUGAUGGCUCCUGGGCCAUGAAAUCCUCUGAACUCGUCCAGCAGAUCUCCCAGGACCUGAUUCUACCCUCUCAUCCAGUGGCUGGAGGCCUCCUGGAGCCAGUGGACCCUGAUGGCGAUUAGUAGAGCAGAACACUGGUGUGGGGGGCUUGUUCCUGCAGUGUCUUAAUGGCCAUAUGUGCAAUUAGAGGCAUGAACAAUUCUGGCCCCAAAUAGCUCUCUCCAAACCAAGGCUGGUACUACUUGGGAAGGAAAAAUCUGUAUCUCCCCAUGGCCUCAAGCCUUCCUCAGGGAUGGAGCUGUCUUUACCUGUGGAAAUGCAUCCUAAAAUGCUUUUGAAAGCCGGAGUCCUCUCCUGCUUGCUUCAUCCACUGGCAACAGAAGACAUCCUUUCCAGGAUAGAAAGAAAAACAGAACCCCCUCCUUUUUUUCUUUCUUCUUUGCACAUUUUCAAUUGAAAUAGCUUUGUGCAAGCUAUACUGAAUGCACUGCAAAUCUCUUUGCAUGGUUAAAGUUGAUUGAUUGGGGUUGGAAGUGAAAAUUAAAAAACGGCAGCAGUUAACAAAAUACAAAUAGCCUCUCUUGGGCCUUGCAGAUGAUGGAGCACAAACCGAGAUGCCUGAGCUGAUUCUGCCUUGAGGAGGACCACCUCCUUCACCUUAGGUUAAACACUCAAGAGCAGAGAUGGCUUUUGGAGGGAGGGGGUUGUCCUGAAAAUAAUGUGUAUAUAAUCCUCAAGAUAAUCAAUUUCUUACAGAUGCUUUGUAAACUUUUGUGUUCAAGAGCGCAAGCCAUAGUACUUUUUAAAUCCCUAGGGGUUGUACUUGAUAUCUGUUUGUUAUUUCUUAAUGCUAGUCGAUCUUUUUUUCCCCCUGUUUUUUUAAAGCUUGCAGCAAUAAGCCUGAGACUUGCGUUGGCAGUCGCCACCACUUCUGCCAUUCUGCAGUGAACUUUGUGCGCGUUUUCAUAUUCCUUUUCUUACACUCCUGAUAAAAGCAUUAUCAGGGAAAUUCAAAAGCAAGCAGAAAACUGGCAUAGCUAAUUUAGGCUAAUUAGUAUGGCAGAAGCUGAGUCUUGUACUUCAGAGGUUCCCAUGCCCUCCCAUGUCUCCACCUGAUCGCCUUGUCCAGCAGCAAACCCAGGAGGCAGCUCCAAUUAUAUCAUAACCUCUUCAAACACCAAGCCACUCAAGCUAAUUUUAUCCUAUUAAACAGACUGAAGGAUUCAGAAGAAAGGUUCUACCCCAAAAGCUUCAAUUACCAGUGUCCCUGAUUACCAUCUUUACAAUCCUAUAUGCUACAGUUAAAUACUUUUUUGCUUAGUGUUGCUUUCUUGAUUUAGAUGAAAAGCGAGUAUUAAGAGCAUGUCUUUUCAACUCAAGCAAGUGACAUUCAUAAAAAAAAAGGAACCUCUCUUGUUAUUAGCGUGUAUAAUCAAAGUCAAGUUUAGAACCGUUCAAAGACAAUGUAAUUGGGGAAAUGUAAACAUCCCCUCUCAUCUGGUGGCAUUUAAAGCAGCCACAGGUAACUGCCAAUAUAGCAGUGAUGGCCAGAAGUAUUAGGUCUAGAGGAAAAAAAUAUAAAAGAAAACAGCAGGAUCUCCUGAAACAAGGAAAUGUCAAACGGUGUUUGAAUUAAAUCUCAUGUCACUAAUCAGCAAUAAAGACAGAAAAUAACCUCUAAGGUAUUGAUUGAGCUGGUUCAUCCUUCCUUGCACCAAUAAGUGGUAGACGUUGGCUGUGAGCAUACAGUCACGCCUGGUCCCAGAUGUGUCUGGGCUUAGGGCAGUGCACAAAUGUUCCUCCCUCUGUCCCAGUUCUGAUGGUGGCCUGGAGCCACUCUCCAUCCCCAUGACAGUCCUUCUCUGCUGGCCAUGCCCAUGGGAGGUGGGAGCUCACCGGAGAAACACUGCCAUUUUCCUGGCCAGUGCCUCCUGCAAGGGGGUUGCAAUCUUGGCUGAUGACUCCAGGUGCUGCUAUAAUUCAAAUAAUACUUGUGAUCCAGGCUAUUAUUUUUAACAACGGAGAUGGAAAUUGAAAGAAUAUAUGUCAUAUGACCAUCAAAUUAACCCUUCUCUGAACACUGAACUUGGGAGGAGUUCAGCUGACAGCAGUACCUGUUAGGACAGCAUUUAUAUGGCAACAAUAUGAGAAUAUCUAUCAUCUGGGAAAUUCAGUAGCACAAGUCAUAGUAAAAACACAUCUCACUUUUUUUAAAGUGAACUUUUUCUUCGCCUUCCGUAAAUAGACUAAUUUUACUUAUUCCUUUUCUUCCACAGACAGUAAUUGUUUUUAACAGACUUACGACUUCAUAUUCUUGUUUUCUUUCAGCAUCAUCCCAACUUGUUAGCUCCCAGUCCAUCAUGAGCUGGAGGUGUUUGGGGGUUGGAUUUCACUUCUGAUCUACUCAUCCUCCCAGCUUAAAAUGAGAAUUUUUCUUUCUGUCUAGAAACAAACAAACAAACAAUUUCUGUCAUUUAACAUAAAUUGAAUGAGUUUCACCCAAUUGCCCGCUUUUUGGGCGAUAUGGAAGUGCUAUUGUCUGCAGACAAUGAUUCUCAUGCAAAUGAAACAACAGCUAAACAAGAGUCCUCCCUAUCUCUGUUUGGGCCAAUUUUCUUAACGUUUCAGCAAAGCUUAAUCUGUUGGCAGAAGUGUUUAGGCCCAUUAACAGCUAAAGUCACAGAGUCCACAACUCACCCUGCUGACAGUAAACACGGAAUUUGAGGAAUGGCCUUUAAACAAUGGCUAAGCCACAAACCAUUUUGUCAUCAAAUGCUGUGAAAGGCAUAUAGGCUGAUGAUUUUCUUCCUUGGGUUACAGUGAUUUGAAAGACUGGCUUCCCUCCCCUGAGUCCCCAGCACCCUCCAGGCUUGGGUUACAGCUGUUUUAUUUGCCUUUCCAGCCCUACAGCUGUGGGAUGAGUUAUGCAGGUGUGCUCCCAACAAAUAAGUCAUUCCGAGGCUUCGUAUUAUUUAUUUGUAUUGACCAUCUCAGAGGCCAGGGCCCAGGACAACGCCACGCUCCAUGCCCCGCAGGGCAGAUUCCUGGAUUUAUUUUAGUUCAGGGAACACUGCACCCGGGUCUUCCCCUAACAGUGUCGCAGACAAAAAGGCAAAACUUACCCUGGGGGAGAGAAAUAAAUGGUAAUUGUUACAUAAAAUAAAUUGCUAAAUAAACCCCAUAAAACUUGCAUCUCUUUGGCAGGGAUGGGAUGAAGAGGGGGUGUGUGGACACUGGGGCUGCUCACCCCACCGUGUUUCUCAGUUACAGGCUCUACUGGGCAGUGCCAAAGGGAAUCCCUUUGCACCCCACUGCCUGAAUGGCACUCAGACGUAUCCCCUUCCCCUGGGGAAAGAUGCACAGCCAAAAUGGUGGUACGUGGCUGCAACCCAAAAGAGGACAUGGGCAACUUUUUAGCUGGAGUUGCUUGGAAAAUACAGUUCUGAGAACUCAUGAUGCCAAUGCCAAUGCCAUGCCAACACUGAUGCCAUGCCAACACCUCUUGCCUCUCAUAUGCUUUUCCCAAGCUGAGCUAGAGUGUGCAUCUAGCAAAGAACUGAAAGCAAUGUGUUACAGACUCUGCUGUUGUCCUUCCCAUGGUGGAAGUUGGGAGAAGGUGCCGCACCACCAUUUCCCACCCAAAUUGUCCUCACCUGCCCUCUUGCCAGAAAACAGUGGAGAAACCAGAAGAGAUGGUAAGGACUGAGGGUCAAAAUAAUCUCCCUUCACACCUGGCUCAAAGAUCACCAAAGGCAACAGACUGAGCAAACCAGCAUUAGUACUGAAGGUCCAUUCCCAGAUAAACCGUAAGUGCUAAACCAGGCUUCUGGUGCAGAGUUCUUCUCUACUGAUUCUCCUCAGGAGAAACCAAAGAACAGGGAGGGGAAGAGAGCAGCGAGGAGCAGAGCAGGUACCAAAAUGCUCUUUGGCUGCAUAUGCAGAUAUACCAUACUUGGACUUGUUCAGGCUCCAACCAAACUACGUUGCCUCCACCAGUGCCAGGAGGGAUCUCCAUCAGCAUUAUCAGGGAAUGCGAGAGAAGGAAGGAGAAGAAAGAUGGAGUGGGAGAGAACCACCUGUGCCAGCAACGCAGCGUUAGGCGCCAGCCUGCAGCCAGCUUCAUGGCAGGACUCUUUGUCAUGCCACAACUCUGGACUGUCCACAUUUCACUCCUCCACCUCUGACAUUCAUUGCCAUUCAGGGCAGAUGAAAACACCGGGUUAUUUUAGUAUGGUGACAUCUGGGCAACAUUUUGGCGGUUCUUCUCCCCAAUUUUGGUAUAGAUUGGCUGAAAGUUUUCAACUAAAAUUUGUUUUCCCCAGUAAACUAGUUCUGUAGCGGAAAAAACUCUGGGUUUUGUUGGAAUAGAAAUUAAAUUAAACAAAAAAUAAUAAAAUAAAAUAGAUUUUUUUAAAAAGGGUGAAAUAAGAAGGCUUGUGGCCAAAUUCUUUUGCCCUUUGAGGUACCAUUUCUCAUUUCUUAAAAUAAAUGCUACAGUGGUCCAUGGCAAUUUUAAAAAAAUGAAAAUUGGUAUCAGUCACCCUAUUAAAUGGUGUUAUUCCUCCAUGCCAACCUUGUUUCAUUUAUAUCUUUAGACCAUCAUGGUUACAGUGACACUGAUGCUAACUGCUAAUUAAAUGUGGGAGGAAAGAAGGCUGUGAGGCAUUUUUACAGAUGGAAAUUGGGAACAACUCAAUGUGAUGUCAGUAUCAGGCAGUAGGGGUGAGAUGAGAAAUUAAUUUUUCCAUAGAUCCUUCUGUAUAAUUCUCAGUAAUGUGGUGCCAUAUACCCACACCUGUGUGAGGAGAUGGUUGUUGGAUGUGGUGUUGCCUGGUGGCACACGAGAACAUAUGUCCCACCUCCUGGUCUGGUGCCACUAUCCCUCCUUGCAGCCCUUCACACAAGUGUUUAACUACAAUUCCAGCUUUUCCUUGACUUCACAUUCAAGCUGAUGUGAACAGAUGGAGACCCAGGAUAUGAAUUAGAUGAAUGAGAGUAGGGAGCAUAAGGAAAGGAUGAAAACCAAGAGUUUAGCGUGGAGCAGACACCUCUAUCAGCAGUACUAAGGCCACAGUGAUGUAUUUUGCCACAAGGGUGUGACAGAAGCACUCCAUGAAGGCCACUUUUGACUGGACUGAAAAAUCUUUUCCCUAGUCCUCGCAUACUAAAGAGUCCUUAUAAUUCCCAAAAUACCAGUCAGAAACACCCUUUGGAAACAAAGUGAAGUUUAUGCAACAAUUGAGCCUUUUGAUCUACAGGGCAGUAUCAAAGAGGGGAUUUAAUCAAAUUUUAAAAAGAAACAAGCAAUAAAACUCAGAUCAAACUCUGUGCAUAUUUUUGCCUAUUUCUGACAGUCCUUAACAUUUCUUGGAAGAGCUUUCUCUAAAAUGAAUAAAUAAAUCACCAUCUUAACCCUAGAGCAGGACUCCCUCGCUCUAUGUACUCGUACACACAAACACACACUCACUUGCAUACACAAACAAAAUGCCUACAGUAAAUCAGUUUGCAAGACAUGAUUCUGCAAGACCCUGAUGAGGAUGUCCUGAUGAGGAGGCGUCCCAGGGUACCUGCAGGACUGUGGUGGGAGGGAGACCCCCAAUGUCUGGCUGACCAAAAUGAGGAGGCACAGCUGGCACAGCGAGAUGGGGCACAUGGAGGGCCAGGCAGGUUGGUAUGUGGCAGCUGAUGCAAGGCAUGCUCGGACCCUGAACACCCUGUUAAAAUUAUAUCAGGUUUUAGAGAAAAACUGAAGUCCAGUGAAAUGGGAAGAAACUUUUUACUUUGUUUGCUGCUGUCUGUUGGGUGUGUGCCUUCAAGGCCAGGACCAUCGUUAGGUGUGCACAGUGGUUAGAUGGAGGUAAGCAGAUGCUGCAGAUCUUUAUACCUUACCGUUUGCAGGGUGUACAGCGCUUUUCAGCCUCCUCGUGGAAUGAUGCCUCUCAUGGGACCCCCACACUUGUAGUUUUGCAUCUUAAGAGGAGGAAGGGCUCAUUUUGGGGAAUGGGGCUUUCUGCCUUUUUACCUCUUCUCUUUGAUUAGAGGAUGUGAAAAGAGAAGCCUGAUUAAAACCUAUUCAUCUAAGGACUUGGGUAAGAGAUGUUAAAUGAAUUACAGAACUUAAAAUUACUGGAACUAUCGGAGAGACAGACAGACAAGCAAAAUUUGGCAUGUUCUGAGCACAUAAGGACACAUUAGCUAAUUUGGAAGUUUUCACUCCUGUUCUAGAAAGUCAGAAGAUUUCAUAGUUUUCUGUUUUGAGGGAGGUAUAAAUUAAAGCUGGAUAUUUUGCUGAUAAAUUAUUCUCUCUUUGGGGCUCUACCACAACUGAAAAUGAUCUCAGUGUUUACAGCUUAGUCCCAGUUCAUCAGAACUUGCCGUCGGAGACAUCACAUUGUAUUUCUGCCUGCAAGUGAAGUCAGAGUUAAUAUCCCUGCGUGGUCUAGGGUCCUUUUGGUGGGCAGAUGGACCUUCUGUCCCUAAACAAGGGGGAUGGCUCUACUGCAAAGUGAGGUGCAGGCUUAAAGCAUACCUCUUCGGGGAAAGGGUGGCAUCCCAAGCACAAGGCUGUCAGCCUUGCCAAGUUCUCUGCAGGGUAUUAGGAGCUUCUUUUUAGUUGCCUAAACCUGGCCACUCAAACUUUGCAAGCACAAAUAUUCACCCCAAAUGUGAGCAUGGCAUGAAUCAAGCAAUAAAAGUUAAUCAGCAUCAUUAAAUCUGUCAGACCAGCAGGUUAUUAAAAUUACCACUAUUCACUCUGAAAAUGGGAACAAAAAAUUAUGCUCCAGCUUUCUGAGCCUGUUUGUCUUGUUUUCCCACACUGCUUAUGAAUUACUACAGUACAUUACAAUGUCCUCUAUCCAUCUUCAUUAGCAUUGUGAACAAAUUGUAUUGGGCUGUAAUGCAGUGUUUUUUUGGUAUUGUACGAACAUAUAUGAUGUACAGAAAAUGGGCAAUUUAAUAUGAAAAGAAUAUUGUGCCUCAGAAUUUUUAUUUUCUAAACAGUCAUUUCAGUUGGGAAUUAUUGCAUGAUUUGUGCAUAAUUUCUCAUGGAUAGUUAUUUAAAUAUAAAUAGGGAAAAUAUAUAAUUCCAUAUGGUGGCUAUCUACCCUUUCUUGAUGCCUCUCCAUAUUUUUAAUAGUGCAAUAAACAAAAGAUAAAAACAUCUCUAAGCCACACACUAGUCAAAAGAAGAUAAUUGUGCCUGUAUGUGUUUAUUGUAAUUUGAAUGUGCUUCAAUUAACUUUCCUCAAUAUUUCCCAGUUCUUUUAAAAGAAACUUAAAUUAGUUUUUAUUUUGUGAAAUUUGUUUUCUGUGCAAUGAGAAAAAAACCCCACAAACCAAUGUCUUUGUUUACCUCAUUAUGGAUACAUCCUAUCCAGGAGCAAAGCUCCAACUCUUUAUUCCCAACAAUCUUUUUUUUUUUUUUUUCCAUUCUCACAUGCUUCUUAUUAUACUUUAAGUAAAAAUAUCAAAUUUCCAGUGCUCCCUACGAAGAGACAGUUCAGCAUCCUUCAAUAUAUCACAUAUCAAAGUGUGGUAAAACAUGAAAAUGUCAGAAAAGCAAACUCUUACAGUUUUGCACUGCAGCCACUUUUAAAAGAUGAGAAUUUAUUACCCUUUCCUGCUACAAAUCAUCAGGGUGACCGGAACAGAGAGAGUAUAUAUAGAAUGCUUGUUGUAAUUAACCUUGAGGCUUUUAUUUAAACAAGGUCAAACAUUUUAACAGCUUUAUAAAUCAAGGUUGGGUCCGCACGGCUCCAUAGUAUCAGACUAAUGACAAAAUGCACAUGGAAUACAUAAUAAACAGCAUUUAUUUACAGAAAAUAUAUCCUGCAAGCUUCAGAGAGACACACCUGCUGGCUGACGUAGCACCAAGACACAGCUCCAGCCCCAACCGAACCACCCCAAGGUGAAUGGUGUAAACGUGUUUUUAGUAUGUGCUACAAGGAGCCAAGCCCAGGUAUGGGUAAAUUAGGUCAUUUGCAAGCUAACUGCAUUUUUAGUGCAAUUGCAAAAUGACAGAAGGUAGGUCACAGUCAUCCCAAUAUCUGCAGUUCUGUCCUUAAUGUUCUCUGAUUUUUAUUUACUUUUUCUACUACUACUUCAGUUAGGUUUUACUGGAAGGAAAGGGAAGGAGGACAUCUGCAUUAAGAUGAACUGUUUUUUCUCAGCAAGUAGCUACCCAGGAACCUUUAUCAAUCUCUAAAAAUAACACCCUUGGGAUUCCUCCACCCAUCCAUCCUGGGUUAUCUCCUUCUUCCUAAUAAAAAACGGCCAUCAGGAGUAAUUUUUUUGAAUGAAGGACAUCACACUAGGCUUUCUAUUUUGCACUCUAAAUAAACAGUAGCUUUCAAGUCGCCCACGUUCAUCACUUCACUUGCUCUUCAGUGUACCAGAGUGAAAUGAAGAAUAUCACAAGCCACAGCGCCUGACGUGGCUGCUUUACACCACGGUUUGCUCUGCGGACAUCCCUUACCAAGUCAAGAGGAGCCCCAUGUGGACAAUAGAUGCCUGCUCUAUUGGUGUGACCCACCAGUCUUAAAAUAGCUGGUAUAAUUUCCCUUAAUGAUACAGAUAAUUCCUCCUCAAAUAUUUCUUGGCUCUUCAGUGUUUUCUCUUAGCCCCAUGGUGUAGGAGUUACACAGACACAAAGGGCUACUCAUUAUUCACCAUGCUCGCCCUCUUAAACUUCACACCUGGGUUGCCACCACCACCUCUCAGUAUGAGCUGGGGGUCCCUGGCAGCGUCAGUAUGGCUGCAGUCAGGAUCGACACCUGAACCUCCUCCCUUUCACCGGCCAUGGUGUAUUGCAUCACAUCACAGCCAACCAACAAAAAUGCCCCGUCUCACCAGGGCCAACAGUGGGGACCAAACUGGGUGAAGAAAAACAUUUUUUGGUGUCUGCGUUCACCUUUUUAAUUGACUUCUUUCAUUUGUUCCCCUUCUGUGCCCUCUGAUUAUAAGCACUCAAGCGGCUGUUGUAACCCCCAGGAAAAAAAAAAACCACAAACACCACCACAACAACCAGUUGUGCUAAAUGAGAUAUUUAUGUGUGGGUGUUUAAGUAUCCACGUGAAGCAAAUUUCUACCCUCUUCUCAUCAGAAUGGGAACCAGACCAUGUGAGUGAUGUGACCAAUUACCACUGAGCACCCCAGAGCAGCUCCUGAAUAUUCACGUCCAAUUGCUACUUCGGUGGAACAAUUGGUUUGAACAGUUUGAAAAGGCAAUGAUGUCAAAUGUGUGGAGUGAUUAAACGCAGCAAUGAGCUGAAAAAGAAGCUCUGUUUCCUUCCCAGGGUAAUUCUGCUGUCAAAUUUUGCUCUGAUGGGAGCAGGAAACACCCAGAUCUUAUCAGGGCAAGGUGCAGCUGAGUUUCGGAGGCAGCAUGGAGUGGGACAUGUGUGGGAGCUUUGACAUGGGUGCAGAAAGUCAAAUGCCUCCUCUUCACCCCUGAACCUCACGCAUAACCACACUUCUACCCCAGGCAGAGCAACGCACAUCUUGCAAGCACACUGUGAUGCAAAUGUAAUUUGGAUCAAAGAUUUUUAGGGCCAAGUAUCUGGGAGUCUAACGGUCCGGGUAAAUGGCAAAGGCUAUGUGGUUUUCAUCAAUAUCAGCCACAUUUGGGAGCUCUUCUGCUUUCUGUAUAAGGAACAUGUUAAGCGCACAGUCCUGCUGCUUGGUGCAUGCCUAUUUCUGUCAUCAACAAAAUGGCCUAUACUAUUUUAAAAAAUUAAUUCUCCCAUUCAGCUCUUUCCUGUUUUAAAAAAAUGCAUAUACCAUACAUUAUAGUUCAGUAGUAGCCCCAGUUUUAUGACAGAGUCAUACAGAUCCAAGCGUUAGGAGAAACAGCAUUUUUCAGUUGUAGUACACGGAGAGGUCUGUGGUUCCCAGAUGGCAGAAGGGAGCUGGGAGCACAUAGGAGGAGAAAAAAGUAAUACAUCCUCCAGGAUCAUAUCUUAUGCUGAGCCCUUGUCAGAGAGAGUGGGCACAGAAAUGCUGCCCAUCUCCAGCUGCUCAGGUCUGGGGCCAGCUCUGAAAACAAUUUUUCUCCUCCUGGUCCCCUUUGGGGAAAGUGAUUGUGCAUACUCUUGUACAAAAAAAAUAAUAAAAUAGUUUUUCCUUAAGAAGCGUCUCCCACACAUUUUGUGAAUGUGCAAAAAGCUUCUUAAACAUGAUGCAGGAGGCUGAGAUGAGGAAAUAGCCUGUAUAAAAUCCUCCCUGAAACCAGGGAACUUUUUCUUUUCCUUUCUUCUUGUUUCUAUGCAGAGAUCUGAGCUAAUUUUUCCUAUCCAUAGGCUCCCCCCACACCCUCAAAAAAAAAAAGGGGGGGGGGGAGACUGUAUUCACUAAUUAUACAUCCUGAAAAGAAUUUGGUUCAGUGUAAGAUGAUCCUAGUGAUAUGCUAAUCCUUUUUUCUGCUUGGUGCAGCCUGAAGCCUGUGUCUAACAUUUUUUUCAACUGUAUGACAAUAAAAGUUGUGGCAACAAAAGAAAUAAAUGGGCAGCUAAAGAAGGUAUGGCUGAAACACAUGGCAGACUAGUUCUCUCCUCUCCUUCUGGCUGCUCUUUUGUAGGCUCUGGUUUGGUAUCCUCAAGUCAAUAGCCGAAAGCCAGCCACCUUAGCAACUUAGUAUGACACCCAAGCCCUCUCUCUUUACAUUCAUGAAUAGUCAGCAAGCAGCAGACAAAAUAGAACUAAUCUUUUUUGACAGAAUUGUUCAAUUUUAGAGGAAAGGCUUUUGAGGCACCUUUCAUACAUUUGCAGAAUAUGAGACAACAAUGGCCACCAUCACAUUUUACAAAAGGACGACCAGGGGUGUGAGCGCGCACACAUGCAUGCACAACAGCCAUUUCGAUAAAAUAUUGCAGCUAAGUUCAAGCGGUUGCAGGAUAUGCCCAUUGUUAGGGGGAAAGCUGGCAGGCAAGAAAAAAUAAAUAAAUUA